CUCACAAUUGACAGCAUUGAAGCUAAAAAGGGGUAGGCUAGUGUCGUGGUAAGGCACGUUGGAUGGUUCGAUUCUACUGGCCUUUUUGCUUGGUUGAGGGGCGGUAGCUGAGGGGCGGUCCUGAAUCUGUAGGCUCUCUGAACAUUUUAAACACAGCAAUCUUCCUUCCUUGACUUUCAACCGAACAGUGAUUACUUCCAAGCCUAGAGAGGUAGAUAAAGAUAAUUCGUACCAGGCCCUAUACUUCUAAAUAUCACGUGAUUUUGGCGCGACACCGGCAGCCAGAAAGUCGGGAUGAGACGUUUUCCGUUUGUUGACAUUGUUAUGGUUCAGUUUUGUUGAACUAUGCCUAAAGCUGCAAACCAUCUUGACAGAUGCCGUCUCUGCGACCAAAAUCUAAGGAUAUUUGGUACGCUCCAACAUGUGCGUUCCCUUGUGUCAAAGUCGAAUUGUACCAUUCUGACUAGGUUAUCAUCACUCGGCAUAAACCUGACACUGCACGAAGAUACAUCGACAAUUAUAUGUCAGAAGUGUUUUCGUAACAUUUGUAAGGUUGAAAAGACCAUGCAUGUGUUACAUGCAUGGAAAGCUACAACGCAAACACCGGCGUUUGGAACUCCCGGGGAAGAAGUUAUCAAGUCCCAACAAGGCCCAGUAGAGACCGGAAGAGAUGAUACCAAGACCAGGUGUUUUAACUGUGAUUCCUUGAAUGAGGUACCCGAGAAGAAACGUCAACGGGAAGAAAGCCCACCAACUACAGGCAGGGGUGCCAAGAAGAGAUGCAAUGCCUCUACAAAAUCCCCAGAGAAGAACAUUAUGGUUGAGGUUGUCAUUACAUACAACCCAAAAUUGAGUCAUCCAAAACCAGGAGUCGGUUCCCCUGACAACAAGGGAAGGACGUGGAAACAGAAGAGGAAGGUAAUUGCUUCAGAAUUUUCAGGCAUGAUUGAAAACUUGGCUAUGGGCAAUAUGGUGACUUUUGCAAAAUUAGCCUUGACAAAUGAGAACAUAUCCCAAGAAAUCAGAAAGCAAAUUGUAAACAAAAUCCAAGUGGAGGUCAAGGCAUAUGCAAGCCUCCCUAAUGUUUUUGAACCGUGCAUCUUGAGUAGUACCUCGUUGGAGAAAAUGAAGUAUUUUUCAUACGAAGCGUUGGAUAAUGAGUUGUCCAGGAAGACACCAUGGCUUUAUACCACCAUCAAUACUGCAACAGGUGGUUCCACCAUCCAUAACUGUGUGGCUGCCUCUGUGGCCCUGAGAGGUAGAAACCCCAGGCUUUCUGCACUGGCCUAUGUCAUCAACUCAACACUGACCCAAGGGGGGGUUAAGCCCAUUUUCAAAAGACUCUCUAAAAUGGGCAUUGUAACAUCAUACCAAUGUGCCAGCAGUAAGCAGAAGGAGAUGAAGGCAGCUGGGUACAACAUCAACAUCAAAUGCUGGAGGGAGGACUGUGAGCUGUUUUUCCAACAUAGUGUCAGCGGUGAAGUCUGCCCACGACCUCCUCCUACGGCUAAACCGACAGAGGAUCAACAGUACAUGAAGAGAGAGGAGAGGAGAAAGACAGGGGUUCCCUGCUAGGAGAGACAGAAACAGAGGAAGUGGGACAUGCAUCAUCAGCACUACAAGGAAAUGACACACAGGAAGAGGACUCUGAUUCAGCGGUGGAUUCAGAGACAGAAUACUUUGGAUUAAACCUCACUUGUGAGAGUGAUUAGAGAAAUAGCCUAACAAAGAGUCUGUAGAUUACAGAUCUAGGCCUAGGCUACAUCUCUGAACAACAAGGGACUAAUCAUAGUUUGGGUACCAACUUACAAUACAGAUGGUGACACAUUGAACUGUACUUCUUAACAUGGUCAUAAAUAUGAUACACCGAGUGUUAUAAGACUGUAUGACAUCUUGUGUCACUGAAUGUCAAUUGCCGUUUUAUCAUGUAUUGGAAAUCAGUUUUAGAGAAUAAAAAUGCUUUGCCUUUUUUGGGGGGUUUAGGUGUCAACAUUCUUGACUUGCUGACGUGUGUGCAGAUGUCGAUCUGAUCAGAUAUCAUAGAGGAAUACUUUAUCACAGACUACAUAAUAUGGUUCAUUCAUACAUGUGGUAAAUCAUUCUAGAAUAUUACAUUCACCCUGUAUUAAUACUGUAUCUAGACAGGCCUCAUCCUAUGUACUGCAUAUUCUGUCUUUUUACAUGACACUUUUCAAUGAUAUCCACAGGGGAAAGCCAGAGACUAAAGGUGUCUACAGAAAAUACACAAACUGGGCUUUUUUUAUUACGAAAUUUGCUAAGCGCGAUUAUGUCCAUGGCCAGUUUUAGAGGAGCCUCUGUGAGCUGGUGAGCCCAAACAAUAACUUCUCCAACCCUUCGAUGCGGUUGUAUUCGGACGAGCAAGUACAAGACAAGUCGGAAGGAGAUGUCACAACAUUUGAACACCGAUGCUGAUACGAAGAGUUAGAGACGAGGAGCGGGGCUGCUGUGUCCCACCGACUGUCAGACAACUGUAUUGGCUUGGUGUUCAACGUGAAACAUUGUCAGACAGACACCAGUGUGUACUCGUCAUGCAGCCGAGUCCUUUUGAACAUCCGGUGUGAUUUGUUUUCUUAUGCUUAGCAGACCUCGUCAGAACAUUGUGAAAUCAGCUCUUUUCUAGGGUGAGAGAAAUUGUGAGUGGGAAAUAUUCGGCGUCCGUGUUAUAAGAUUAGCAGGGCUAGUUCAAUCGUCAGAAAACAAGACGACAGUGUGAAAUCAGUUAUUUUGGGUAUACAUUUUAACUCAAGGGAGCCCCAGGUGGAUGUUUUACGAUUGCUGUCAUUGUAUUUGUCAUCUGCUUGUAGUAGGUGUUGGAGGGGAGGGGGGUUGAUAGCCAAGAGAUGGAACUGAGCCCGACGACGUCACGGUAACAUGGAUGGUGUUUAUUCCUACUGAUGAACGUCUCCCGUUCGUCUCGCCCCAAAAACUGCUGUGCUUUUUAUUUUUAUUUUCUUAGUCAUACUUUAGGAUGGAAGUUCAUUUCCUGUUUCACAUGUUACUCGUGUUUACAUAAGUGUUUUAUCUUAUGUCCCCUUUCAUCACCCAUUGGCUCCAGGUCAUCUACAAGUCCAUGCUAGGUAAAGCGCCGCCUUAUCUCAGUUCACGGGUCACGAUGUGAACACCCACCCGUAGCACGCGCUCCAGCAGGUGUAUCUCACUGAUCAUCCCUAAAGCCAACACCUAAUUUGGCCGCCUUUCGUUCCAGUACUCUGCUGCCUGUGACUGGAACGAAUUGCAAAAAUCGCUGAAGUUGGAGACUUUUAUCUCCCUCACCAACUUCAAACAUCUGCUAUCUGAGCAGCUAACCGAUCGCUGCAGCUGUACAUAGCCUAUCGGUAAAUAGCCCACCCAAUUGUACCUACCUCAUCCCCAUACUGUUUAUUUAUUUACUUUUCUGCUCUUUUGCACACCAAUAUCUCUACCUGUACAUGACCAUCUGAUCAUUUAUCACUCCAGUGUUAAUCUGCUAAAUUGUAAUUAUUCGCCUACCUCCUCAUGCCUUUUGCACACAAUGUAUAUAGACUCUUUUUAAAAUAAAAAAUAAUAAUAAUUCUACUGUGUUAUUGACUUGUUAAUUGUUUACUCCAUGUGUAACUCUGUGUUGCUGUCUGUUUACACUGCUAUGCUUUAUCUUGGCCAGGUCACUGUUGUAAAUGAGAACUUGUUCUCAACUAGCCUACCUGGUUAAAUAAAUAAAAAUUAAAAUAAAAUCACACUUCUGUGAUUUACAUUUCACUAGUCACCUCUUAUGAUAGGAAAUAAAUAUCUAAAAAAGUCUGCGAAUGUAUUUGUGACAGACAAUAUUACUGUUUUGAAUCAGUCACAGACAAUAUUACUGUUUUGAAUCAGUCACAGACAAUAGUACUCUUUUGAAUCAGUCACUCAGUAAACUUGUACUGCUUUGUACAUGAGCUAUGUAGAUGAGGUUAAUGUCUUAGGGGUCCAUAUUGUCUACAGCUGGACACUCGCCCAUGUACCAAAGCAGGAAGUUCUCCAUUGAAUGACCACUACACAACACAAGGUAAAUGACAAGGUAUGGUAAGUGUCUUGAGGGUCUAGCCUCCCAAACAAUAUGAAAAACUAAAACAAGGAGGAAGUGACUCAUUUAUCCUCUUUAGUUGUCAAAUGUGAAUAAUAAAAACAGCGAAACCAAGUGUGUCGCUCACAACUUGAAACAAACAGUCAACCAUCAUUAUUUAUUUAACCUUUAUUUAACUAGGAAAAUAAGUUAAGAACAAAUUCUUAUUUACAAUGACGGCCCUACCCCGGACGACGUUGGGCCAAUUGUGCGCCACCCCAUGGGACAGGCACACUUCCGUGAUGAUGGCACUAACUGUCGAGAUUCCUAGAAUAUAAAUGAUAAUUUGCAGUGAUACUUUGCUGCCACUCGCCAAAAACCGACGUGUAACAGACAGCCUUUCUGCAGAAAUUUCUGCAGUCCAGAGAGGCUUUCUGCAGUCCAUCAUGUCUCCUCUCUGGAGGUGGUUAGAAUAAGGACUGUCCAUCAUGUGUCCUCUCUGAAGGUGGUUAGAAUAAGGACUGUCCAUCAUGUCUCCUCUCUGGAGGUGGUUAGAAUAAGGACUGUCCAUCAUGUCUUCUCUCUGGAGGUGGUUAGAAUAAGGACUGUCCAUCAUGUCUCCUCUCUGGAGGUGGUUAGAAUAAGGACUGUCCAACAUGUCUCCUCUCUGGAGGUGGUUAGAAUAAGGACUGUCCAUCAUGUCUCCUCUCUGGAGGUGGUUAGAAUAAGGACUGUCCAUCAUGUCUCCUCUCUGGAGGUGGUUAGAAUAAGGACUGUCCAUCAUGUCUCCUCUCUG
rnacentral:lncRNA from 13 species